rnacentral:pre_miRNA from 1 species
CCUCAAUCUUUUUCGUGUACGUAUACGCAAUACAUGCGCACGUAGAUAACUCUAUAGAGGUUCCUACGUGCGCAUGUAUUGCGUGUACGUACACAAAAAAGAUUGAG